GACGAACGCUGGCGGCGUGCUUAACACAUGCAAGUCGAACGGAAACGCCCUGCUUGCUUGGUCUUCGAGUUGCGAACUGGUGAGUAACACGUGGGUGCUUUGCCCUCUACUUUGUGGUAAGCCUUGGCAACUGGGUCUUUUCCCUGAUACGACCCACUAUUUGUGUGAUGGUUGGAAAGAUUUUUGGGUGUUGGAUGAGCUCGCGGGCUAUCAUCUUGUUGGUGGGGUAAUGGCCUACCAAGGCGGCGACGGGUAGCCGGCCUGAGAGGGUGGACGGCCACAUUGGGACUGAGAUACGGCCCAGACUCCUACGGGAGGCAGCAGGGGGGAAUAUUGAACAAUGGGCGCAAGCCUGAUGCAGCGACGCCGCGUGGGGGAUGACGGCCUUCGGGUUGUAAACUCCUUUCGCUAGGGACGAAGCUUUUUGUGACGGUACCUAGAUAAGAAGCACCGGCUAACUACGUG
rnacentral:rRNA from 1 species